CUCUGUGACUCCUACGGGAGGCAGCAGUGGGGAAUAUUGCACAAUGGGCGCAAGCCUGAUGCAGCAACGCCGCGUGAGCGAUGAAGGCCUUCGGGUCGUAAAGCUCUGUCCUCAAGGAAGAAUAAAUGACGGUACUUGAGGAGGAAGCCCCGGCUAACUACGUGCCAGCAGCCGCGGUAAUACGUAGGGGGCAAGCGUUAUCCGGAAUCACUGGGCGUAAAGGGUGCGUAGGCGGUUUUUCAAGUCAGAAGUGAAAGGCUAUGGCUCAACCAUAGUAAGCUUUUGAAACUGUUAAACUUGAGUGCAGGAGAGGAAAGUGGAAUUCCUAGUGUAGAGGUGAAAUUCGUAGAUAUUAGGAGGAACACCAGUGGCGAAGGCGACUUUCUGGACUGUAACUGACGCUGAGGGCCACGAAAGCGUGGGGAGCGAACAGGAUUAGAUACCCUGGUAG
rnacentral:rRNA from 1 species